rnacentral:rRNA from 1 species
AUUGAACGCUGGCGGCAUGCUUUACACAUGCAAGUCGAACGGUAUCAGGUCUUCGGAUGCUGACGAGUGGCGAACGGGUGAGUAAUGCAUCGGAACGUGCCCAGUCGUGGGGGAUAACGCAGCGAAAGCUGUGCUAAUACCGCAUACGAUCUAUGGAUGAAAGCGGGGGACCGUAAGGCCUCGCGCGAUUGGAGCGGCCGAUGUCAGAUUAGCUAGUUGGUGGGGUGAAGGCCCACCAAGGCGACGAUCUGUAGCUGGUCUGAGAGGACGACCAGCCACACUGGGACUGAGACACGGCCCAGACUCCUACGGGAGGCAGCAGUGGGGAAUUUUGGACAAUGGGCGCAAGCCUGAUCCAGCAAUGCCGCGUGCAGGAAGAAGGCCUUCGGGUUGUAAACUGCUUUUGUACGGAACGAAACGGUCUGGGUUAAUACCCUGGGCUAAUGACGGUACCGUAAGAAUAAGCACCGGCUAACUACGUGCCAGCAGCCGCCGUAA